rnacentral:rRNA from 1 species
GACGAACCGAGCGAACGUUGUUCGGAAUCACUGGGCUUAAAGGGCGCGUAGGCGGGCUGCCAAGUCUGUGGUGAAAUCCUCCAGCUUAACUGGAGAACGGCCGUGGAUACUGGCGGUCUCGAGGAAGGUAGGGGCAAGUGGAACUGUGCGUGGAGCGGUGAAAUGCGUUGAUAUGCACAGGAACUCCGGUGGCGAAGGCGACUUGCUGGACCUUUUCUGACGCUGAGGCGCGAAAGCCAGGGGAGCGAACGGG